AAUGAACGCUGGCGGCAUGCCUUACACAUGCAAGUCGAACGGCAGCACGGGAGCAAUCCUGGUGGCGAGUGGCGAACGGGUGAGUAAUAUAUCGGAACGUGCCCAGUCGUGGGGGAUGACGUAGCGAAAGCUACGCUAAUACCGCAUACGAUCUACGGAUGAAAGCGGGGGAUCGCAAGACCUCGCGCGAUUGGAGCGGCCGAUAUCAGAUUAGGUAGUUGGUGAGGUAAAGGCUCACCAAGCCGACGAUCUGUAGCUGGUCUGAGAGGACGACCAGCCACACUGGGACUGAGACACGGCCCAGACUCCUACGGGAGGCAGCAGUGGGGAAUUUUGGACAAUGGGCGCAAGCCUGAUCCAGCAAUGCCGCGUGCAGGAUGAAGGCCUUCGGGUUGUAAACUGCUUUUGUACGGAACGAAACGGCGAGCUCUAAUACAGUUUGCUAAUGACGGUACCGUAAGAUUAAGCACCGGCUAACUACGUGCCAGCCGCCGCAGUAA
rnacentral:rRNA from 1 species